rnacentral:rRNA from 1 species
GAGUUUGAUCAUGGCUCAGAACGAACGCUCGCGGCAUGCCUAACACAUGCAAGUCGAACGAAGGCCCUAGCUUGCUAGGUGUCCUUAGUGGCGGACGGGUGAGUAACGCGUGGGAACCUGCCCUAGAGUGGGGAACAACCUUUGGAAACGAAGGCUAAUACCGCAUACGCUCUGAGGAGGAAAGGCUUCGGCCGCUCUUGGAUGGUCCCGCGUCUGAUUAGCUUGUUGGUGAGGUAAUGGCUCACCAAGGCUACGAUCGGUCGCUGGUCUGAGAGGAUGAUCAGCCACACUGGGACUGAGAUACGGCCCAGACUCCUACGGGAGGCAGCAGUGGGGAAUAUUGGACAAUGGGGGCAACCCUGAUCCAGCCAUGCCGCGUGAGUGAAGAAGGCCCUAGGGUUGUAAAGCUCUUUCAGCGAGGAAGAUAAUGACGGUACUCGCAAAAGAAGCCCCGGCUAACUCCGUGCCAGCAGCCGCGGUAAUACGGAGGGGGCUAGCGUUGUUCGGAAUUACUGGGCGUAAAGCGCGCGUAGGCGGUUUGCUAAGUUGGGCGUGAAAGCCCGGGGCUUAACCCCGGAACUGCGUUCAAAACUGGCAGACUCGAGGCCGGGAGAGGAGAGCGGAAUUCCCAGUGUAGAGGUGAAAUUCGUAGAUAUGGGAAGAACACCAGUGGCGAACGCGGCUCUCUGGCCCGGUUCUGACGCUGAGGCGCGAAAGCGUGGGGAGCGAACAGGAUUAGAUACCCUGGUAGUCCACGCCGUAAACGAUGAGUGCUAGACGUCGGGGGGGCUCGCCCUUCGGUGUCGCAGCUAACGCAUUAAGCACUCCGCCUGGGGAGUACGGCCGCAAGGCUAAAACUCAAAGGAAUUGACGGGGGCCCGCACAAGCGGUGGAGCAUGUGGUUUAAUUCGACGCAACGCGAAGAACCUUACCAGCUUUUGACAUGCUAGUCGCGGAUUUCAGAGAUGAGAUCCUUCAGCUCGGCUGGACCUAGUACAGGUGCUGCAUGGCUGUCGUCAGCUCGUGUCGUGAGAUGUUGGGUUAAGUCCCGCAACGAGCGCAACCCUCAUCUUCAGUUGCCAUCGGUUAGGCCGGGCACUCUGAAGAAACUGCCGGUGAUAAGCCGGAGGAAGGUGGGGAUGACGUCAAGUCCUCAUGGCCCUUACGGGCUGGGCUACACACGUGCUACAAUGGCGGUGACAGUGGGCUGCAAAGGCGCAAGCCGGAGCUAAUCCCCAAAAACCGUCUCAGUUCGGAUUGUUCUCUGCAACUCGAGAGCAUGAAGUUGGAAUCGCUAGUAAUCGCGGAUCAGCAUGCCGCGGUGAAUACGUUCCCGGGCCUUGUACACACCGCCCGUCACACCAUGGGAGUUGGUUUUACCCGAAGCCGGUGCGCUAACCGUAAGGAGGCAGCCGACCACGGUAAGGUCAGCGACAGGGGUGAAGUCGUAACAAGGUAACC